GAUGAAGAACGCAGCGAAAUGCGAUAAGUAAUGUGAAUUGCAGAAUUCAGUGAAUCAUCGAAUCUUUGAACGCACAUUGCGCCCCUUGGUAUUCCGAGGGGCAUGCCUGUUCGAGCGUCAUUACACCACUCAAGCUAUGCUUGGUAUUGGGCGUCGUCCUUAGUUGGGCGCGCCUUAAAGACCUCGGCGAGGCCACUCCGGCUUUAGGCGUAGUAGAAUUUAUUCGAACGUCUGUCAAAGGAGAGGAACUCUGCCGACUGAAACCUUUAUUUUUCUAGGUUGACCUCGGAUCAGGUAGGGAUACCAGCUGAACUUAAGCAUAUCAAAAGCGGAGGA
rnacentral:misc_RNA from 1 species